UCCCUACGGGACGCAGCAGUAGGGAAUCUUCCACAAUGGACGAAAGUCUGAUGGAGCAACGCCGCGUGAGUGAAGAAGGGUUUCGGCUCGUAAAGCUCUGUUGGCAGGGAAGAAAGAUAGAGGUAGUAACUGGCCUUUAUUUGACGGUAAUUACUUAGAAAGCCACGGCUAACUACAUGGCAGCAGCCUCGGUAAUACGUAGGGGGCAAACGUUGUCCGGAAUUAUUGGGCGUAAAUCGAGUG
rnacentral:rRNA from 1 species